UACGUAGGUGGCAAGCGUUGUCCGGAAUUAUUGGGCGUAAGCGCGCGCAGGUGGUUCCUUAAGUCUGAUGUGAAAGCCCACGGCUCAACCGUGGAGGGUCAUUGGAAACUGGGGAACUUGAGAUGCAGAAGGAGGAAAGUGGAAUUCCACGUGUAGCGGUGAAAUGCGUAGAGAUGUGGAGGAACACCAGUGGCGAAGGCGACUUUCUGGUCUGUAGCUGACACUGAGGCGCGAAAGCGUGGGGAGCAAACAGG
rnacentral:rRNA from 1 species